rnacentral:rRNA from 1 species
GGUUUGAUUAUGGCUCAGGUGAACGCUGGCGGGAUGCUUUACACGUACAAGUCGAACGGCUUGGCACGGACUUCGGUCUGGUGGCGAGAGUGGCGAACGGGUGAGUAAUGUAUCGGAACGUGCCUAUUAGCGGGGGAUAACUACGUGAAAGCGUAGCUAAUACCGCAUACGCCCUUCGGGGAAAGCAGGGGACCUUCCGGGCCUCGCACUAUUAGAGCGGCCGAUAUCGGAUUAGCUAGUUGGUGGGGUAACGGCUCACCAAGGCGACGAUCCGUAGCUGGUUUGAGAGGACGACCAACCACGCUGGGACUGAGACACGGCCCAGACUCCUACGGGAGGCAGCAGUGGGGAAUUUUGGACAAUGGGGGAAGCCCUGAUCAGCCAUCCCGCGUGUGCGAUGAAGGCCUUCGGGUUGUAAAGCACUUUUGGCGGGAAAGAAACGGCACGGGAUAAUACCCCGUGCAACUGACGACACCUGCAGAAUAAGCACCGGCUAACUACGUGCCAGCAGCCGCGGUAAUACGUAGGGUGCAAGCGUUAAUCGGAAUUACUGGGCGUAAAGCGUGCGCAGGCGGUUCCGGAAAGAAGAUGUGAAAUCCCGGAAACUUAACUUUGGAACUGCAUUUCGCUACCGAGCUAGAGUGUAUUCAGAGGGAGGUGGAAUUCCGCGUGUAGCAGUGAAAUGCGUAGAUAUGCGGAGGAACACCGACAGCCUCCUGGGAUAACACUGACGCUCAUGCACAGCGUGGGGAGCAAGAGCAGGAUUAGAUACCCUGGUAGUCCACGCCCUAAACGAUGUCAACUAGCUGUUGGGGCCUUCGGGCCUUGGUAGCGCAACUAACGCGUGAAGUUGACCGCCUGGGAGUACGGUCGCAGGAAUUAAAACUCAAAGGAAUUGACGGGGACCCACACAAGCAGUGGAUGAUGUGGAUUAAUUCGAUGCAGCGAAAAACCUUACCUACCCCUUGACAUGUCUGGAAUCCCGAAGAGAUUUGGGAGUGCUCGCAAGAGAACCGGAACACAGGUGCUGCAUGGCUGUCGUCAGCUCGUGUCGUGAGAUGUUGGGUUAAGUCCCGCAACGAGCGCAACCCUUGUCAUUAGAUUGCUACGAAAGGGCACUCUAAUGAGACUGCCGGUGACAAACCGGAGGAGGUGGGGAUGACGUCAAGUCCUCAUGGCCCUUAUGGGUGGGGCUUGCACACGUCAUACAAUGGUCGGGACAGAGGGUCGCCCAUGCGCGAGGGAGUAAUCCCAGAAACCCGAUCGUAGUCCGGAUCGCAGUCUGCAACUCGACUGCGUGAAGUCGGAAUCUUCGGCACAAUCGCGGAUCAGCAUGUCGCGGUGAAUACGUUCCCGGGUCUUGUACACACCGCCCGUCACACCGCGGGUCGGUUUUCAGAAAUGAGUUAGCCUAACCGUAAGGAGGGCGAUUACCACGGUAGGAUUCAUGACUGGGGUGAAGUCGUAACAAGGAAAA